rnacentral:lncRNA from 1 species
ACUGAAGGUAAAAGGUUGGGAAAAAUCAUACCAUUCAUAUGGACUGUGGAAGCAAGCAGGAGUUUCCAUCCCCAUAACAAAUAAAGUAAACUUCAAGCCAAGGUUAAUCAAGAGAGAUAAAGGUGGAAAUUACAUACAGCUCAAGGGAACCAUACACCAACAAGACAUAACAAUCAUAAAUAUAUAUGCCCCAAACAAUGGAGCAUCUAUGUUUAUCAAACAAAUUCUUCUCAAGUUCAAGAGUCAGACUGACCACAACACAGUAAUCUUGGGUGACUUUAACACACCUCUCUCACCACUGGAUAGAUUUUCCAAACAAAAGUUUAAUAAAGAAACUAUAGAACUCAAUAAUACAAUCAGUAACUUAGACUUAACUGACAUAUACAGAAUAUUUCAUCCUUCAACGAGCAAAUACACUUUCUUCUCACCAGCACAUGGAUCCUUCUCUAAAAGAGAUCAUAUACUAUGCCACAGAGCAACUCUUAGCAAAUACAAAAAAUACUAUGCAUUUUAUCAGAUCAUACUGGAAUGAAAUUGGAAAUCAAUGACAAAAUAAAAAUUACUCCACCACCUGGGGACUAAACAAUAGGCUACUGAAUGAACAAUGGGUUACAGAAGAUAUCAAGGAGGAGAUUAAAAAUUCUUAGAGAUAUAUGAGAACAUAGACACAACACAUCAAAAUCUCUGAGACACUAUGAAAGCAGUACUAAGAGAAAAGUUCAUUGCAUGGAGUUCAUUCCUUAAAAGAAGAAAAAGUCAACAAAUAAAUGACUUCACAUUAUAUCUCAAAGCCCCAGAAAAAGAAGAACAAAUCAACAGCAAAAGCAGUAGAAGCAAGAAAUAAUUAAAAUUAGAGCUGAAAUCAAUGAAAUUGAAACCAAAAGAAAUAAUUGAAAAAUUGACAAAAACAACAAAAAGUUGGUUCUUUGAAAAAAUAAAUAAAAUUGGCAGACCCUUAGCUAUGCUAACAAAGAGAAGGGAAAAGAAAACUCAAAUUACCAGCACAUGUGAUAAAAAAGGUAAUAUCACAGCAGACACUACAGAAAUACAGAGGAUAAUUAGAAAUUAUUUUGAAAACUUAUACUCCAAUAAAAUAGAAGACAUUGAAGGCAUUGACAGAUUUCUUAAGUCAUACAAUUUGCCCAGAUUGAACCAGGAAGAUAUACACAAUUUAAACAGACCAAUAACAAGUGAUUAAAUAGAAGACACCAUCAGAAGCCUACCAACCAAGAAAAGCCCAGGACCGGAUGGAUACACAGCCAAGUUCUACAAGACCUUUAAAGAAGAACUAAUACCAAUGUUCUUCAAUUUAUUUCAAGAAAUAGAAAAAGAGGCAGCACUUCCAAACUCAUUCUAUGAGGCCAAUAUCACCAUUCCAAAACCAGGCAAAGAUACAUCAAAGAAAGAAAACUGCAGAUCAAUAUCACUAAUGAAAAUAGAUGCAAAAAUUCUCAAUAAAAUUCUGGCAAAUCAAAUACAAAAACAUAUCAAAAAGAUCAUACACCACAAUUAAGUAGGGUUCAUCCCAGGAAUGCAAGGUUGGUUCAACAUACGGAAAUCAAUAAAUGUAUUUCAUCACAUCAAUAGACUCAAAGAUAAGAAUCAUAUGAUCAUCUCAAUAGACACAGAAAAAGCAUUUGACAAAAUAUAGCACCCUUUCAUGUUUAAAACACUAGAAAAACUAGGGAUAACAGGAACAUAUCUCAACAUUGUAAACACUAUAUGCCCCAGGCCAACAGCAUUCUAAAUGGAGAAAAAUUGAAGGCAUUCCCUCUAAAAAUUGGAAGAAAGGGAUGCCUUCUUUCACCAUUUCUAUUUAACAUAGUUCUUGAAAUACUGGCCAGAGCAAUUAGACAGACAAAAGAAAUUAAAAGGAUACGUAUAGGAAAAAAAGAACUUAAAAUUAGCACUAUUUGCUGACAAUAUGAUUCUAUACCUUGAAGACCCAAAUAUUCAACCAGAAAACUUGUAGAACUAGUAAAUGCAUUCAGCAAAGUAGCAGGAUUUAAAAUCAACACCCAUAAAUAAUAGGUAUUUCUGUAUAUCAAUGACAAAUCCUCUGAGAGGGAAAUGAGGAAAACUAUCCUAUUUACACUAGCCUAAAAAAAAAAUUUGGGAAUCAACUUAACAAAAGAGGUGAAAGAUCUAUACAAUGAAAACUACAGAACCCUAAAAAAAGAAAUCAAAGAAGACCUUAAAAGAUAGAAAGAUCUACCUAGCUCCUGGAUAGGCAGAAUUAAUAUUAUCAAAAUAACCAUACUUCCAAAACCACUAUACAGAUUUAAUGCAAUUCUGAUCAAAAUACCAAUGGCAUUUCUCAUAGAAAUAGAAAAAGCAAUCAUGAAAUUCAUCUGGAAAAAUAGGAGACCCAGAAUAGCUAAAGCAAUCCUUAGCAGGAAGAGUAAAGCAGGCGGCAUCAUGAUACCAGACCUUAAACUAUACUACAGAGCAAUAGUGAUAAAAACAGCAUGGUAUUGGCACCAAAACAGACUGGUAAACCAAUGAUACAGAAUAGAGGACACAGAGACUAACCCACAAAAUUACAAUUAUAUUAGACAAAGGCACCAAAAACAUGCAUUGGAGAAAAGAUAGCCUCUUCAACAAACAGUGCUGGGAAAACUGGAAAUCCAUAUGCAACAAAAUGAAAUUAAACCCCUAUCUCUCACCUUGCGCAAAACUCAACUCAAAGUGAAUCAAGGAUCUAGAAAUUAAACCAGAGAUUCUUCAUCUAAUAGAAGAAAAAGUAGGCCCUAAUCUUCCUCAUGUGGGACUAGGCCCCAACUUCCUUAAUAAGACUCCUAUAGUGCAAGAAUUAAAACCAAGAAUCAAUAAAUGGGAUGGAUUCAAACUAAAAAGUUUCUUCUCAGCAAAAGAAACAAUCUGUGAGGUGAAUAGAGAUCCUUCAUCUUGGGAGCAAAUUUUUACCUCUUAUCAGAUAGAUCACUAAUCACUAGGGUAUAUAAAGAAAUCAAAAAGCUAAGCACCAAAAAAACAAAUAACCCAAUCAACAAAUGGGCCAACGACUUGAACAGACACUUCUCAGAAGAGGAUAUACAAUCAAUCAACAAAUAUAUGAAAAAAUAUUCAUCAUCUCUAGCAGUUAGAGAAAUGCAAAUCAAAACUACUCUAAGAUAUCAUCUUACUCCAGUCAGAAUGACAGCUAUUAUGACAAACAAUAAUAAGCGUUGGCAAGGAUGUGGGGGAAAAGGUACACUCAUAUACUGCUGGUGGGACUGCAAAUUGGUGCAGCCAACUGGAAAGCAGUAUGAAAAUUCCUUAGAAUACUGGGAAUAGAACCACUAUUUGACCCAUCUAUCCAACUCUUUGGUCUAUACUCAAAGGACUUAAAAACAGCAUACUACAGGGACACAGCCACAUCAAUGUUUAUAGUAGCACAAUUCACAAAAGCUAAACUGUGGAACCAACCUACAUGCCUUUCAGUAGAUGAAUGGAUUAAAAAAUGUGGCAUAUAUACACAAUGGAAUUUUACUCAGCAAUAAAAGAGAAUAAAAUCAUGGCAUUUGCAGGAAAUGGAUGGCGUUGGAGAAGAUAAUGCUAAGUGAAGUUAGCCAAUCCCAAAAAAGCAAAUGCCGAAUGUUUUCUCUGAUAUAAGGAGACUGCUUCAUAGUCAGGUAGGAAGGGAUAGCAUGGGAGGAAUAGAUGAACUUUAGAU